UACUUGAAUCUCAGGGAGAUUGUAAAAUAUUAUUCUAAAAUUUUCUCCAGGUUCCUGUAGUAGAUUAUCUUCAGAGACAUGUUCUUUUACUCAAUUUUUGUGAUGCUUCCUUUUUCCUUUUGUUAGUGUUUUGUCAUACCCCCACCACCUUUUUUUCCCCCUCCUAAAGUGAGGAAACAUCUACUCAAACCCACAGUUGGCUAAAACCACUUAUCUAGAUUUCCUGUUGGCGCUUCAUAUUUGUAAGCCGCCUGCCGAUUGAAUCCAUUUCUCAGGUCUUCAGCUGAUUAUCAACAGAACUUAGAUUGUCAUCAAUUGCUGCCCUAUAAGGGUGAGAUCUUCCAUUAUCCCCACUGCCUCAUUCUGUGGUGUUAUGAACAAGGUAAGGACUGAGACACUAAAAUCUCCACUUUCACCCUGCCAAAGUUCAGUUUUCAAAACUCCUACCUGCUGUGGUCUCCUUGUUGGGUCCAAACCCAUCAGAGUGUAUUCUGCCCCCUCUGCCUUCACUUUCUGUAUAACCACGUCUAUGUCACCAAACUGCAGUCUUGACAUUAUAUAGAACAGUUUGGGUACUGACAUAAUAGUACUCUGAACACUUCUAAAUGUGACAGCCACAAAGUAUUGGGAAGACCGGUGAAUUUAGAAUCAUCCAGGGCCUUCCUUCUCCCAAGGUAGUCUCCUGACCAGGAGCAUUAGCAUUCACCGGGGAUUUCUUUGAACUCAGGUCUCACCCAGACCUACUAAUCAGAAUCUGCAAUUUUACAAGAUGCCUUAGAUUCCUGUGCACAUUAAAGUUUGAUUAGCACUGAUUUAGAAACUUGAAAAAUAUUGGUACCUAGUCUUACCCCCCAGAUACUGAUUGUUUUUAGAGCGAAGCCAUGUACCAGUAUUAUAUUGCUGCUGUAACAGAUUACUGCAAACUUACUGGCUUACAACAACAUUCAUUUAUUAUUUUAUAGUUCUGUAGAUCAGAGGUCUAAUGAGCUCACCUGGUUACUCCACUUCAUGUUCUCAAGGCCCAUAUGAAGUUACAGGCAGGGUUGUGUUCCUUUCUGGAGGCUGUAGGGGACAGAGCUUCUGAGUUCAUUCAGGUUGUUGGCAGAAUUCCUUUCUUUGCCACAGAGGAACUGGGAUCCCUGUUUCUUUGCCAUGGAGGAACUGGAGUCCAUGUUUCUUUGCCAUGGAGGAACGGGGUCCCUGUUUCUUUGCUGGCUGUGGCUGGGGAUCAUACCCAACUUGUAGGGGCCUCCUGCAUCCCUUGACUCCUGGCUUCUUUGACUUCAAAGUGAGUAGCCAUGGGGUUUGAGUUCUUCCAGUGCUUGGGAUCUCUGUGAUCUCUGCUUCUGCCCCAUCUCUCCUGCUUUUCUUUCUGCAGUGUUAUCUCUGAUUCUUCUGCCUUCCUUAUCUGCUUCUAGGGCCCAUGUAAUUUCACUGGCACACCUAGGUUACCCUGGAUCAUCUUCCUAUUUUAAAAUUAGUUGACUAGUGCUAGCCUUAAUUCCAUCUACAGAAACUUUCACAGCCACACUUAGAUUAGUGUUUGAUCAGAUAACCAGGGCCUGGGAAUAUUGAAGAGGGGUGGGUGGCAUCUUUAGAAUUCUACCUACUUCAGGCCAUCUUCAGGGCCUUUUAAUGUGUGGCCAGGGUUGAGAAUCACUGAUAACAAUCCUCUGAUCUAGGGAGAGAGCAAAAAGUAUUUUCCCACCUUCUUCUAGGUAUGCAAGAGUGCUGUGCUUUAUGAAGUAAAAAAAAAUUUUCUAUUGUUCAGUUGAUUGAUAGCUAUAUCAGCCUACUCAUUUUUUCUCUGCAAUUGACACUGGCCUUAUUUUUGGAAGGAAUAACUCUAGUGGUUAUCUAUAGGUGUCUGCAUUUGGACACUGUCAUGGACUAUCUAUGUGUGGGUGUGUGCCUAGAGAGAAUUGGAGAGAGGCAGUUACCAGGCUAGCGUGAUACCAAAGUAGGCCAGAAAUCUCCACUAAUUGAAACUGAGAUUUUACUACUUUAAUUUUUAUUUUCCCUCUUUCAAGCAGGAAAAUCAGGACUUAAAGAGACUAAAGGUUUUUGCAAAGGCACAUGUCUAUCAUGAAAGGAGUUACCUGGGCUGCUGAAACAUCAACCCUUAACAUUCACCUUCUGGGGUAUUGAGCUUUACUUUGUGCAAUCUACUUUUAUUUCUUUUGAAUCUCUACUACAUGAUUUUAACUUGAAGGGGGAAAUAUGUGAUCGAGAAUAAAAUAUGCGAUUUUGACAGAGCUGGUUAAAUUUCUGUGAGGAAAAGGGGUGUUUGGGGGUGGUGAAGCCCUAUGUGCACUUUAUCAAGUAGUUAUUAGCAAAGAGGGAAAGGUUAGGUUUGAAUCUAGUGCAAAAGUUCAGGGUAGAUGAGAUUUGAGAUUUCAUAACCUAGGGUCAAUAUUGAGCUAUUCUAAGUCCUAGAGACAGAACUUUGAGAGAACUAUGUGUAUUUUUACUUUCAAAGACCCUUGAUAGAAAAAUUAAGCCAUCUUUUAUGGUUCCCUUCUCCACAGGUAAGCCCUGUUUAAAUAAUGGAUGUCUUUGUUUUUGCUGAACUAUAAACUGGCAUAUUUAAUUAGCACUAAUUCUUAAUUAUCAGGGUAAUAGGAAAAGAGGAAAAUUAAAGCAUUUAGAAUCCCUUGAUAAUCAUUUUAGCCACAGGAAAAAAAAAAUCAAACUGUUCCCUCCAUUCCUGGUUCUUAAAGCUAGACUUAUUCACAUGCACAGCCUGCUUAUAACUUACAAAUGCUGGAUCUUGACUUUGGAAUAACUCAGAAACCUCUGAUUCUUUACUUAUGAUUUCUUGAUUUCUUUUCAUUCACUCUUGUCUCUAUGACCAUGAAAUUUGACUUGAUAAUUUACUCUUAGAUUCCAACCUCUGGUCUCACAAAGUUAAAUGAUCUUUCUGACCCUCUCUCUCGCCACCUAGGACCUUGGCACUAUUGCACAGUUUUUACUUGUUUCUUUCUAAGCCUUUAUUGUAUUAUUGAAUUAUUUAUAUUUUAUUUUAUCUUAGUUACUUUAUUAUUUCUAAAGAUUAUUUGUUUCUAAGGCUUUUAUUCUCUUGGUGAGGACUUUAGACUCCACUUCUGAUUACAACAAACAAUCCCAGAAUGGUAGCCUGGCUUGGCCAAUUUCAGCUACUCUUUAAAAGGAAAAGGUGAGAACGUGCUUGGUCAUUACUAGGUCACUAAGAUCACUAGAAUUAAAAAAAGAGAUCUAGGUUUUGUCACUUUUCUCUAUUGUUGUAUACUCCUUCAUUAUUUCACUCAUAAUGAUCAAAAUGAGUUCGGUUUAGAAAACAACAGUAUAGAUAGUAGCCACAUUGUAUAAUUGGCUAUAUUCUUUUUCAUAUUUAUAGAGAUAUAACCUAGGUUAACAUGAGUACCAAAGCCUAAAAUCACAAUUUUAGGACUAAAAGGGAUUUUAGUGAUUCAGUAAUGUAGGCUAGUAUUUGUUGCCUGAGAGUUUCUUGAGGAUUCACCCCCUGAGAAGCUAACACAGGAAGUUAGGCAGAGGAAAGACAGAUGGGUAAAUGAGGGCGGUGCUAGCCUCUCCAUUUCAAUACUAGCAUCUCAUUUUGCCUAGGUGCCAACCAAGAUUUGUGUUUGAACAAAGGCUAAUGUGAAUUAAAAAUAUUAACAACUACGGAUCUGGUUCAUUCAUUCUCCAUUUAAGGAAAUAGAGGCCCAAAGAAGUCAAGGGAAUGAAAUCGUAAGAAUGCCAGAGACUCUCAGCUCCUAUGCCAGCACUCUUCCCACUGACCCACAAACUGUAUUCUGUUGAGUGGUUUCCCCAAGCAAUUAAAUGUCAGUCAUCAUCCUCAUGCUUCCUUAGAUAGCCUAGUAAAUUAUAUGUGGAUUUCAUACUUAUAAAUUGUUAAAUAAAUUUUCUAAUUUUAUGUUUAUAUAGGAAGCCUGGUGUAUUUUUUGUUCUCAGAAAUUGAUAGACCUUUCACUGUUUUUCAUUCCAUAAAAAUUCAGGUGCAGGGUGAAGAGAAUACUGAGAUAAAUAAAAUAUGUUCCUAGACCUUUAGAAGUUCAUUGUUUAAUGAUAGAACCUAUUUUGGGAGGUAAAAAUUAUGGAACUCUGGCAUCAUAGACACUCAAGAUUGAAGGCAGUUUAAUAUAAUUUGUUUUAAUAGAGUUUAAUCAAUUUAAUAUAAUGUGAACAACAGAUAUUGUUGCAUGAAUGAAUGAAUAAUGUUAACACGCAGUGUUUCCAUUUAAUUAUCUUAGAAUUGAUGACAAUUUUUAUGCUUGUCUACGGCAGCCAUAGACAUGAAAUUAUAAAUAUAUUAGGAGGUAGAUGCCAGGAUUUUAUCUAUUUCCAUUAUUGGAAACUAUAUCAUAUUUUCUUUUCUCUAUUUCCUUCAUAGAUUUAUGAAAAAUAGCCUUUGGUUACCUCUAAAUUGCAUCUGCAACUUCCAAAUAUAUAAAGGCCAAAACUUGAGUUAAUUACUAACGUUAAUCUAUGUAGUUAAUUCCUAAGUAUAGUGAAUUCACUUUGUAAAAAUUUUGUAUGUGUUCACAUAUAUUCUUAUAGAUAUUGCUAUUUCACAAAUUCAUUCACUAAUUGAACAAAGAAUUUUUACUAUUUCCCAGAGACUGUGCUAGGAAUUAGUUUCUCUACCCUCAAGGAACUUGCAGCAAGCAGCAGUUUCUUUUGUCUUAUGUUUUCUUUUACAGAUAGAAACAGUGAAUUGUGCAUUGGAAAAAGAUGGUGUCAACAAAUUAUAAAUGUAUAAAUACAUAAUGAAAGGAAACUUUCAUUAUAAAGCAAACAUAUCAUUCCAGAAUAAAAUACACAAUGGAUGUCUUUUGAAUUAGAAAAGAAAAUAUGUUCUUUUGCAGUACAAACAUAGGGCUAAACCCUACAAAUGAAUAUGAGAGCUAUAAAGAUCUAUUAAGAAGCAACUGUUUUAUGAAAUGAAAUCAUACGUUGGAUACAUUUACCAGCCACCAAGCUAAAGGUAGGAGCAAUAGAAUCUCUAUAACUCAAAAUAAAAUCAACACGUUUCCCCUCUAAGUGAAGGUGGCAAAGGGAGCAUUAUGGACUCGUUUGCAAACUUAUACAUAGUAAUUUCUGGUUUGUUAUUUGCUCUUUCUUACCUCCCUAAUGUAGCAUCAUCUAGAUUGCCUCAAAGUAAUCGUGCACGGGAGACCACUUUUGGGGGAGUUAUUGGGUCUCCAGUGAAGGGAAUCAAAACUGAUCAAAGGAAAGGAAGGGAUACCUUGAAUUGUUUUGUAAUGACAUUCAUUUCUCAAUGACCUUCUACCACAUCAUCCAAUUUUUAAAAAAAUAAUAAAAUUCAGCACAAUGUGCAACUCUCUCAGUGAAUGCGGGGCUUGGGGGGAGGUUAGAAAUUAGGCGUUAUCAAGCAGGCUUUCAACAUUUUGUCGCCCAACCAAAGAUUUAGGACAUGACAGUUGAAAUAACUUUGAGCCUUGGUGCCCUACACAGCUAUUAAACACUAGUUAGUGUGUAGAUAUGUCCUCAGCUGGCAGAUGAAAAGGUCUAAAGUUCAGAUUGUUUCAAGAAGUCAUAAUGAAGCCAGGAGAGCCAUGUUCUUUGUGAGAGAAAUGUCAGCGCUUGAAAAGUCUCUUAAACUGUAAAGGACACUUCAUUACAUAGAAGAACUGACUUAAUAUACUUUGCAAAUGACUUCAUAACAUUCAAUUUUGAGAAUCAUUUCCAUUCUUUUAUUCACAGUACAUGGGGAAAUUAGCUGAAAUAUUUAUCUUUGCUUCUCUCUAAGUUUUAUAGCACUAGUCAAAAACUAAUUAGACUCUGGCAAUUAGAUCCUGCAUAUAUGCUUCCUCCCCCCACCCCCACUCCUCCAGGAGUUUUCCUUGUUAUGCAGUUAUGCAACUUCCUCUGUUGCAGAGAGUGGUCUAUUUCGCUUAAAGGGUUUUAGUUUAGAUUUUGUUUGUUUUUUUACACAUCAAGCUUAUUUAUUCUUUUCAUGUAUAUCCGACAGGUGGUUAGGAAAAGAAGAAAUGAAGGGAGCCAAUCACCAAAAGCAGUAAGCAUCUAAUGAAACAUGAUCCAUAAAGGAGAAAGAAAGAUUUCUCAUCAUAUUUGAUCACCAGACAGGCAGGAGUCUCCCAGAGAUGUCUCCCAAACAAGGCAAGGACUGUUAUAGAACAAGUUCAAGUAUAGUAUUAAUCUUUAAAUUCAGGAAAGUGGUUUUCUCCCCCUCCCCUGCAGAGUUUCAAAAUGUGUAUAUCUGCAAGACCUGCUCUCCUAGGAGUUCUCCCUAUUGGAAUGACUGGCUCUGGUGGCUGGCUUCCUCUUUUGUAUGACAGAUGGGUUCGAAAAUUGGGGAACUUUCUGGAAUAGGAAGCUCAGUAGUGCAUGCGUUAGCUGAAUAUUGCUCCUAGCCCAAGAGAAAGAUACUUUCUUUCCUUUGAAGCUUUUUUGCCCCCUGGGAUUCCCUCUGGCCAUCUGAGAGGCAAGAUCAUAAGGGUCAAGAUUAGGAUACAAAUCUGUCAUAAAUCUAACAAAGGGCUGUGUUUUUUUUGUUGGUGGUUUUUCAUUUGUUUUUGGUUUUCUUUCGGUUUUAGACUGAAGGCCAAAUAUUUUCGCUGUAGCUUGCAAGUGAUUUGGUCCAUCUCACCGGAGCUGGGGGUUCCACAGGAGAGUUUGUGGCCACAGCCACAGGAAGACUGAUAUUUUGCAGUAGUAGGUCUUCUAUGCAAAUUUUCCUUGAGAAUCUGGCAGUAGGAGAAUAACUGCUAACCAUUGGACAUCAGGAAUGCCAAACAUCUCUAACCUUUUCCUCAGAAACUUGAACAGUACUGAUUUUCCCCACCUCAAAAUAAAUGGAAAUAAUGAAAAAAUGUAUUACCAUAAACCACAGUAGGCACAUGCUUGAUUACUCUUAGUCAGUCUAUAUCAAUGAGAUAAGGGCACUUGAUUUUAAACACAUGUAAAUGCAUGUAAGAAUUAGAGCUACAAUUUAUGAUGAAAUGUAUUAGGGAAGACAGAAAAGACAUUGACCCUGUUCUUUACACAUUUACAACCUAGUGACAGACAUAACUGAAUGUAAGACUAGAGGAAGUCUGAGAAGUCAGAGCUGGAAACAUCCUCAAGUUUAGACAUUGGCAAAUUUUAAUUUAUGCAUUUAAUCGUUAAUCAAAUAAUUCAGUGCCUUCUAUUUCAAGGCACUGCAUUGAUCCUAUGGAUGAUGUAAAGAUAUAUCACACCUGAUUCAAGGAGACUUAUCUAUGAAGGGGAUAAAAUAUUUAUAAAAUAAAUACAAAUAAAAUAACUAGUAAUACAAAUAAUAAUAUGAAUAAUAAAUAUGAAUAAAAUAACAUGACUACAUAGGGGAAAUACAGAUCAAAAACUUUGGAAAUAAGAAAGCAUUUGAAGUAAACCUUGAAAGCAGGGUCAGAUAGAAAAAGGGCAUUUAGUUAAAAAGAAUAUGUAUAGAACUUAUUUGUAAAUGAAUAACAUUAGAGAGUGUCAGCAAAUUUUGAUAUUUAGCAAGUUCUGUUUGGUUCUGUGUGGUAGGCAGAAUUCUAAGAUGACCACCAAAAUUCCUGCUCCCUGGGUUCAUGUUCUAUUUUAUCCUUUCCCUUUAGCAUGGAUGGAGUCUGUAAAUAUUAUAGGUUGUAUCCUGUGAAUAGGUUAUAUUAGGUCAUUAGGUCAUAUGAAAAAGAUGAAGGGAUUUUUGCAGAUGUAAUUAAGGUCCCUAAUUAGUUCAUUUUGAGUCAAAAGUCAAAAGGGAGCUUAUGCUGGGUGGGUCCGACCUAAUCAGAGAGCCCUUUGAAGAAGGUCCAGUAGUCAAAAACUCAAAGCAGUACAGAAGCUUUCCUGCUGACCCUGAAGAAGCACACCAUCAUGAGCUCUACAACUGCAGGGAAAUAAAUUCUGUAGCUGCCCAGGGAGCUUGGAGAAGGAUCCUGAGACUCAAUUGAGCUGCACCUCUGGCUGCUGCCUCAAUUGCAAUCUGUGAGACCCUGGGGAGAGGGCCUAGUGAAGCCCUUCCCAGACUUCUGACCCACAGAAACUGUGAGAUCAUAAAUGAAUGAUAUUGCAAUCUGCUAAUUUGUAUUAAAUUGUAACACAGCACAAAAAAACCUCAAUACUCUCCAAUACAGGUUAUAUCAUGACCUUCAAACUGAAGUACAUGUGCUCCUAGGGGAGACAAAAGCUUUCUGGGGGUUCAGAGGCACAGACAGUUUCAAUGGAAUCAAGCCCCAGACCUCCCCCGCUCUCCCUUCCCUACUUUUACAUGUCUUUCUCCAAACUGAUCUGUGUGAAAAUGUUCUGGUUUUCCUUUCUCACUCCAUCUUUAACAAUCACCUUUCUUCUGUUUUGGCAAAGAAAGGUCAGCUCUCACCCAUCUUGGAUCUUACUCUGGUAUAUUGCCCCUGGCUGAGAAUACUGUGAGGUGGCAAACAGAAAACAAAACAAAUGCUUGAAAUAGUGGGGUCUGCAAAGCCUCCUGCUGUGAAGCCAUUGUCUGUGGUAGGGCUCCAUAUCUUUCUCUGUCUUACAUUUAUUAAGGUUAUGGCAGAGCUAGGCAUUAGAAAUAGGAUAUUAUGGCCUGGAGUCAAGAUGAUAGGAAUUCAUAAAUAUUGUAGGAUUGGCUAGAGUUGAUGAUGGUACAUUAUGUUUAAUGAGCUACCUUCUUCCAUCCCCUAAAUGUUGUCAAGUACUCUAUUUCUCCUGAAGAUCAGUCCUGGUGGGUAAGAAGUGCUGAAGAUUGUGCCAUCUUUUUUCAUUCAGGCAACAAACUCAUGACAAUGCUCAGUAUAUCUGUCUACCUUGGAAUUAGAAUAAUCAAGAUUUAUAAAAGGCAUGCUGGUGAAUGUCAAUCUCUUCAGAGUGCCCUCAGCAUGGACACCAAUCUCAGUCUUGAGAGCUUGGUCUUAGAAGUUUCUGCAGGGCUUUAUCAGGAUGGAAGAGGAAAAGAGUAAUUGCUACUUGUCACAGGAAAUAAAAGAUUACUUAACCCUUUCUUAAAAAAGGAAGAAGAAGAGCAUGCUGCUCUUAGAGAAGAUCCUCUCUAAGAAGAUAUAAAACAACACUUUCCCACUGAGCUUCGGGUGUUACACUCUUUUCCUUGACUCAGCGUUGACCAUGGUUCACAAACUCAAAACCUGCAGUGACCAGCUGGUAAAAGGUGAAGAAUUGGAGAGCCCAGGGGCCCACCUACAAAGAGGGCAGCAAUUACUCAUCUAUCUUCAACUGAUCUCCACAAUGGACUGAUGACUCACUGUGAUCAGGAAAACUGAAACUUUGCCAGGUUAAAUUAUUUGCUCAAAAUCAUGAAGCUGGUAAAGUGGGAAGCCAGGAUAUGGAUCCAGGAGGAAAUCCACUUGUAGUGUCUCAGCCCAUGGACCAAUGUCACAUUGACUGAAUAAAACAAUUUGGCUUGGAGGGAGUUUGAUACAUGCUGGAUGAGAAAAAGUGUCUAAGCAGCUUUGAGGAACCAGGCAGAGUAGGAUCAACAGUUUUCUUGUGGCACCUCUUGAGCCAUUCAGUGGUUCUCAAAUAUCCAACAAGAGACACAGAGCAUGAGUGGGGGAGAGGCCAAGAGAAGAGGGAGAUACAGAAUCCAAAGCAGGCUAUAGGCUCUGAGCUGUCAGCACAGAGCCGGAUGCAAGUCUCAAACUCACGAACCACGAGAUCAUGACCUGAGCCAAAGUUGGGUGCUUAACUGACUGAGCCACCCAGGUGCUCCAUGAAUUCUUAUUAUUGAUUCUGUGCCGGUGCUGGGUUCCCAAAGAGCACAUCUUAGUCAUGUGAGGCAUCUGUCAACUAUAGGGGAGCCCAGGUGAGAGGGAGAUUCCAUGGGACUUGUGUCACCAUGGGAAUGGAACGUGAGAGGAUUCUUAGGGGAAAUGGAGUUGUGUCUCCUGAUGUUUGGGAAACCAUGGGUUUCAAGAAGAGCACCAUUUGGCAUCAUAUUUGUCCAAAGUGAACAAAGACAUCAUCCUGGACCAUGAAGGAGGUAACACAAGAAGAUGGAAAAUGUCAAGAAACUGAGUCUCAAAUAUUUGAUGGCAGUCUACCUGGGUCUAAAGCUUGGGCUUCUAACCAAGCCACAACAUAGUGUUUGAAUCUAAGGAAAUAUCCUGCCAUCGGAUGGAGCCACUCCAUCUCUUCCUCUCUUCUGCGCGUCCUGGAAGAAGGCGAGAGUGCUGCUCUGGUUUUGCGUCUUCAGUGGCUCGGAGCUCUCCUGCUUCUCUUUGGCCAACUCCCAGAAGUGGCCCAGCCCUCCAGAGCCACGUGUCCGUGAAAACAGACGCCAGGAGAGAGGGUACACUCUUGGAAGAAGUAACAGAUGGCAUGUCACCCAGUCUGAUCUCCUUGUCAACUGAAUCUCCAAGCAGAUACACUCAUAAUAUAUGCUACGAGGAGGAGAACUUGAAUUCAGAAUGCCUUUGGAAAGAUGUCCCUGGCUAAAGAUUUACCUAUGAUAAUAAACCAGAAUCUCUGGAUUUGUAAGACAUGACUUCCUACAGAUUUUCACAUAAGUUCCUCCACCUUGGGGUAUAAAAUGGAGAUUUUUCACUGCUUAAACAUCCUCUGCUGCGUGAGGUAACCUCAGGAAUCUCAUUUGGAGACCUCACUUCUUAUUCUGAACCAGAGGUACAUGUUUGCUGCAGGGAAAAAGGACAUGGCUGGCUGCCCCCCACAUCCCAGGCUCUCCCUUGCUCCCCUCUGUGCCUCUUGAUUGCCCGUACCCUUGAAGUUAAUAGUAAAACUUUAUGCUAGAUGAGAUUUGUGAGUCUGAUUUCACAAUCCAAUCCUGUAUAUUAUAUCUGAGAAGAACUAGUAAAGUAACUACUAAUCUUGCUAUGUUCCUAGUUUUACCUGGAAGAUGUUUUCUUUAGGGAAAAACAGGUUAUACUUACAUUUUAUGGUUUUAAGUCUAGCCUUUUUGACCAAAUCAAAUGCUUCUUGAUCCAUUCAGAUAUUUCUGACAGAUCCAUCCAGUUGAGCGUGAAUUUUUAUCCACACCAUCUCUCACACUAUCUCUACUAACUUGGACCGGUGAGAAUAGUUUCUGCCCCCUUCCCCCAACAAGAUAAUCCCUGAGUUGUUCUCAAUACAUUACCAGUACAAACAAAAUGUAUAUUAGUGCAUGCUUUCAGAAUCUUCUUCCUCAUGCCCCAACUGGAAGAAGUCACAUGGAUUAGAGUAAAAAUAUCUGUAAGAGAACUUGUAUGCAAAGCAAGUAUAGACACUGCUUUAAAUCCACAAGAUAAAGCAAGCAAAGCUAUGCUUUCUUCUCUAGGGCAAUUUGGGCUAGCAGGAAGGCAAUCACUGCCUAUAGCAGAAGAAAGCUGUCCCCACAAGUAGGCAGCCAGGGAGCUGUGAAUUAGCUUUUCAACACCUGAAGCAUAAGUUAGAGAAAGUUAAUGGCUCUGCUUUGAGAAUAAUAAGAAAAGCCUGGGGUUAGAGGAGGUCCCUUUUUUCACAGUAAUUUUGCACAUUUUAAUAAUUAGUAGUAUAUCAAUAUUUAUGGUAUCACAAUAAAGGAGCAUAUUUGGGGGGGGGGAUGUUUGAUCAUGUGCAUAUUUUGUUCACAGUUGUCCAUGACUAAAGAGAGCUCCAUGUCAGGGCAGGGACAGUUUCUCUGCCAAGACAUUCUAAGUCAAUACAUAUUGGCUGGAAGAAAUUAGGCCACUUCGAAAGUACUAGACUUACAACCCUACACCUAAAAUGUGAUGCUCAUCUUAAACUACAGAUCACUUCAUGCAGUGAUGCUAUGGCAACCUUUUAAGUACCUUUUGAAAGACUAGAGGGUAUCCCUCGUAUUAUCUCCUUCAGUGGUUUUCAAACAUUAGUGCACAUUCAGUGCUCAUGGUAUUUACUUCCUGAUACAUGAUGAAGGUACUUCUCUGUGGUAUUCUUUACAAAAAAAAAAAAAACAAAAAACACCCAAACCCUAGAGUAACCAUGAGAAAAAAUCUAUACACUGAAAACUAUAGAAAGCUUAUGAAAGAAGUUGAAGAAGACACAAAAAAAUGGAAAAAGAUUCCAUGCUCCUGGAUAGAAAGAACAAAUAUUGUUAAAAUGUCGAUACUACCCAAAGCAAUCUACAUAUUCCAUGAAAUCCCUAUCAAAGUAACACCAGCAUUCUUCACAGAGCUAGAACAAAUCAUCCUAAAAUUUGUAUGGAACCAGAAAAGACCCCGAAUAGCCAAAGCGAUCUUGAAAAAGAAAACCAAAGCAGGAGGCAUCACAAUCCCAGACUUCAAGCUGUAUUACAAAGCUGUAAUCAUCAAGACAGUAUGGUACUGGCACAGGAACAGACACUCAGAUCAAUGGAACAGAAUAGAGAACCCAGAAAUGGACCCACAAACGUAUGGGCAACUAAUCUUUGACAAAGAGGGAAAGAAUAUCCAAUGGAAUAAAGACAGUCUCUUCAGCAAGUGGUGCUGGGAAAACUGGACAGCAACAUGCAGAAGAAUGAACCUGGACCACUUUCUUACAUCAUACACAAAAAUAAACUCAAAAUGGAUGAAAGACCUCAAUGUAAGACAGGAAGCCAUCAAAAGUCUCGAGGAGAAAGCAGGCAAAAUCCUUUUUGAUCUGGCCACAGCAACUUGUUAUUCAACACAUCUCAGAGGCAAGGGAAAAAAAGCAAAACUGAACUACUGGGACCUCAUCAAAAUAAAAUCUUCUGCACAGCGAAGGAAACAAUCAGCAAAACCAAAAGGCAACCAACAGAAUGGGAGAAGAUAUUUGUAAAUGACAUAUCAGAUAAAGGGUUAGUAUCCAAAAUCUAUAAAGAAUUUGUCAAACUCAACACCCAAAAACAAACAAUCCAGUGAAGAAAUGAGCAAAAGACAUGAAUAGACACUUCUCCAAAGAAAAUGCGGUGUACCCUGAAUGGGAUCCUGGAGCCAAAAAUGGGCAUGAAUGCAAAAGAUAAUGAAAUCUAAUAAAGUGUGGAGUUAAGUUACUAGUAAUGCACCAGUGCUGGUGUCUUAGUUGUGACAAAUACACCACAGUAAUAAACAUAUUAACAAGAGGGGGGACUGACUGAGGGACAUAUGGGAUCUGUUUGUACUGUCUUUGCAACUUUUUUGUAAAUCUGGAAGUACUGGAAAAAUAAGUUUAUUUAAUAAUGCCUAUGGAAUACUACAGACAAAUCAAAAUCUCUGGGGUUGGGACCUGGCUAUUGGCAUUGUUUUAAUCUCCCAGGUGAUUCUCCUAUGUAGCCAAACUUGGGAAUUACUGAUUUAGAUAGAUGUAAAUUAAGGACUUUCAUACUAAAUCUACCUUUCACUUGGUCAGCAUGGUAGUUAAUACUGAAACAAUUUGCUACUUUUUGUAUUUCUAGAGAAAACAUCUCUUUUAGUUUAGGUUAAUCAACUCUGUAAAAUAAUAGUACCAGUCACUUAAAAUAAAAAGAAAAGUAGAAACAGAAUAAAUCCAUACGCUGGCUUUUAAAGAUGACAUUCCAGAGUAUAUCCUGAGGUCCAUAUGCAUCCCAUCUAUCCUAUUACACCAUGUUUUAAAACUAUCAGAGCUUUGGGACCUGGGGAGAAUUUUGUGACUAAUAGAAUUUAGGCAAUUUAGAUAAUUGCACAUGAGCCCUCUGUACCUGGAAGACCCUGUGCAAGCCCCUGUGAUAGAUCUAUAAAGUCUUUACUCCAAAGCAUAAACUUUUCUUCUAAUCUCUGUUAAUUUUGUAAGAACUAAGGCUCAACUGUAGCACUCAACUCUAAUAUUUGUCUCAUUUUUCCAUCUCCACAUUGUGUGGAUAAAUUUUCCCAAUAGGCAUACACUAAAAACAAAGAAUAAUUCUAACUACGAGGUCAUUCAAAUAAGAGAAAGGUUUUUACUUUUAGUUAAAAAAAUUUUUUGUUAUAUUAGGAGUGCUGAUGUUGGAGAGGCUAGCUAUUCAAUUGGCUAUUAGAGCAUCUCCUGAUACUUCCUCUUUAGUAGUGGCCACAUGGUUUUUCAGACUCAGCAACUGACCUAUGGAGAGUCAUGAGGAAAGGAAAUUAGUACCUGGAAUUCUGCCAGUGAAGUGGCAAGUUGUUCUGGUUCCCUCGCCAGGUAGUGCCAGUUCACUGGGCGGCCCAGUUUUCUGGUUUUUGCAGGUCUGCAGGAUACCACUGGAAAUGGUUUCAUUUCAUCCUUUCCACACUCUCUGGCUAAUCUUUGUAGAUUGAAUGCCACUGGCAAUUUUGAAUGAAGGAUCAAGUCUGCAAUUGAUGAGACUAUACAGGUGGUAACAGAAAGUCUGGCACUUGCCUCCACUGCAGUUUUUUGCUGGCAUCACAGGCAAGCAUAGGAAUAUAGAAAAAUAUCAGGUAUUAUGGAAUUGCAACAUUCAAGAAGUGAAUGUACAUUUUUCAUAUUUAAUGUAUUUUUCCUCUUGUGAGUGAAUCUCCCAUAAUCUUAGAAAGCAGUUAGAAGUAUUACUACCUGGUUUUAGGAAACAUUAAUAUGACUUUUUAGGCACUGAGAGAGAGAGAGAAAGUCACCAUCUUUUAUACACAGCAAACUUAUUAUUCAGUUUUCCUGCCUUAUUCAAGACCCAGAAUCUUAGGGAUUCUGUUCCCUUAGCAGUUCUUGUGAACACACCUUAACCCUAAUGCCAGGCAUUAUUGAUUGGACCCAGAAGAGGACAUCUGGUUGGAAAUAACUCACUGAUUUCCUUUCCUGGGAAUCUGUAGUUUGAGUUCUAGUUAAUAUUAUAGGAGCUUUUAGUGCGCAGCCUUCCAUGUUCACUCAGAAACAGAAAGAGGCUAGAUCUACAAAGAGGCAAGUGAUCAGAAAGAUGCCAGCAAGGUACUGAGUGGUAGAUACGCAUAUGAAGGGGGUGGGGAGAAGGAGCAAGAGAAUCUGGAGACUAAAAGAGAACAGAUUUGUUCUGUUAGUCUCUGUUAGUCUGGAGACUAAUUUGACCCCUGACUGCCUACUUUUUGUACUUCUUGCCCCCAAAUUCCAUAAAUUAUCCUGUAUGCUAGUAAAACUUAUUUUGUUUGCUUCUGUGUUUCAAUCUAAUUUACAUAAGUGUGUUACUCUCAUCAAAAUGAUUCGUAGGAGAGUGUGCAUACAUGCAAGUAAUUGAAGCAUUCCUUCUAAAUUACAACAGUGCCUGCCAUAUACUUUUUGAUAAUAUAUUUGAUAAGUAGAUUUUCUAUGCAUCUUUCAAAACAUUUAUUGUAUACGUUUUAAAAUUUUUUUAAUAUUUAUUUUUGAGAGAGAGAGUGCAAGCAGGGGAGUGCAGAGAGAGAGGGAGACACAGAAUCUGAAGCAGGCUCCAGGCUCCGAACUGUCAGCACAGAGCCCAACGCAGGGCUUAAACUCACAAACUGUGAGAUAAUGACCUGAGCCAAAGUCGGAUGCUCAACCAAGUCACCCAGGUGCCCCAUAUUGUCUACUUAACAUAUACUAUGUAUACAUAUAUGUAUAUGAAAUAUGUAUAUUCAUAUAUAUGUGUGUGUGUAUCCUAUUUUUUAGGGAACACCAUCAAAGACAUUCAACUAGUAAUACCACUUACGACCUGCCUAUGUUGAAGAACCAACAAAAACUCCUUAGCAAUAUGUGACUUCGCAAUAUUUUGCAUAGUGACUAAGAACAUGGGCUCUGGUGCCAGACUGACUGAAAUAUUGGGAGGAUUAUAUAAAUUUAUGUGCAGAACUUGUAACCAUUUCCCACAUAUAUAAUAACCAUUCAAAACUAGUACAGCUUAUUAUAAUGCUCAUUAUCAUUAUAACUAUAGUAUAUAAUAAGUAUUCAAAGUUAUUGUUUUUAUCAUUAUUAUCAUUAUUAAAAAGUUGGUUUAGUCUCUGGAGAAUUUGUUAGAGGAGCAUAGUCACCUUUUCAAGGACCAUAAAACUUUAUAUUCAGAAAAUAAAUCAGCCAAAAUCACAUAUAAAAGCACUAAGCUUAGAAUGAAGGUUUCUUCCACUUGGGAGCCAAAUUAGUGGCAGAACUUAAAUUUGACGAAGGUUGGACAAACUAAGGUGUAAGUGCUGCUUAGAGUUGCUUGGCAACUUGGCAAGAAGAUAUCAACCAAUACCCUAAGAUUCUAAACACCUUGUACUGUUUCAUAAAAAGUAUGAAAGGACUGCUGACAUCCCCUUUGGAAGAAGUAUGAGAGCAACGUGGGAUCAAGGGUAACUGAUAUGUCCAGAGGCGUGAGAAAUAUGAAUAAGAGCUCAAGCCAAAUACCUUGUUGAUUAUUACUCAGGCUAUAUGUGCAUGG